rnacentral:lncRNA from 1 species
AGAUGUGGUUCCAACUCUUUGAAAACAUAACCCAUGAUGUUGAAACAGACUACUGUAAAGCCCUUCCCUGGGUUGGUACUCACCUGGACCAUCACUCACAUCCUUCUCCCAGAUGUUGCUUCCACUCCUUUGUCUUCAAAUGCAACCUGGAUCUAGGUGAGAGCUGCAGACCUGUCUCUUCUCCUCAGUGCAUGGACAAAGCACAGCACACAGAGUGGCAAGAAGGGAUGCCAAUCAGACUUCUGCCUUAACGAAUAGGCAUUUAUAACAGUGAGAGAUCCCAACUUUGUGGCUUGAGCCCACCUCUACUGUUAAGAGAGAUGCUAAAUCAGUACAUCUGCAGAGACAACACUAAUAUCUCCUAACUAUUUCAUUUAGCUGUAAUUUUUCUGUGGAGGGCUCAUAACAUGAACAGCAGAGGACCAGAUGAGCAGAAGUUGCAGUGCUAUAAACUGAUUCCCAGAUGUUCAAGAGAGCAGUUGUAAUGGCUGUAUUGAAUGUGUAGAAGUUAAUAAUGCAUACUGUUGUCUCCAUAAGCUGGCUUGCCUAUGAAAAUGCCAGUCAUGCCAGCAGGAUAGCAGGUUUCCCGCUAUAUGCUAAGUUAUUCAAAUAUUUGUGGGUAUAUCCAUCACAUUUUGAAAACACAGAAGUCUUUGAAUCUUUCCCCAACCCCUAACUCACAACCUGACAGAUUUCUAAGGAACAUAUUCUACUGCAUUUCAGUAAUGAUCAUGCCACUUUUUUAAAGAGACAUUUAGCAUUAUUACUUUUCUUUCUUGAAGCCUAAUACUGCAAUAGGCACACUGUGCUGCUAAGCUGCAACUGAUACUUCAUCACUUUGAGAAUGUGAAAUCAAAAAUCCAUAUGCUUUGUAGAGAGAUUGCGUGUCUCUGGGAUGGUGCCAGUCCAGAAAGGCUGCAUGUAGAAUUAUGAUGUGGUUUCAGUCAGUCGGGAAGGUAAAUUUUGAUGAGAAUGAAAUCAUUUUUCCAUAUCAUUUUUCAGCAUUUUGAAACUAUUUCUGCAGAUCUCCAGACAGUUUGGUCUCAGCCUAAGGCAAAAUGUCCCAUGACGACAAUGGAGAUUUCUUUUGUAAUAAUAAAUAAAGCCUCUGGUUUUCA